rfam:Schistosoma margrebowiei strain Zambia genome assembly, scaffold: SMRZ_scaffold0001312
AUCGAGCUGACGAGUCCCAAAUAGGACAAAGCGCGCUUCCUGGAU